rnacentral:misc_RNA from 1 species
UAAUAAGUGUUUUAUGGCACUUUUUACAUCCAUAUCCACCUUGUGUGCAAUGUCAGUCGAUCUUCUUCAUGGAGAUCGACCAAACAUCAACCUUUAUUUUUUAACUCUUUGUCUGAAAAAUAUUAUGAAUAAACAAUUCAAAAUA